UAGAGUUUGAUCAUGGCUCAGGAUGAACGCUGGCGGUAUGCCUAAUACAUGCAAGUCGUACGAAAGUUUUUAACUUUAGUGGCGGACGGGUGAGUAACGCGUGAGAAUUUACCUUUAGGAGGGGGAUAACAACUGGAAACGGUUGCUAAUACCCCAUAUGCUUUCGAGUGAAAUAGAUUUAUCUGCCUGAAGAGAAGCUCGCGUCUGAUUAGCUUGUUGGUGGGGUAACGGCCUACCAAGGCGACGAUCAGUAUCUGGUUUGAGAGGAUGAUCAGACACACUGGAACUGAGACACGGUCCAGACUCCUACGGGAGGCAGCAGUAGGGAAUUUUCCGCAAUGGGCGAAAGCCUGACGGAGCAAUACCGCGUGAGGGAAGACUGCCUAUGGGUUGUAAACCUCUUUUUUCAGGGAGGAAUUUUGACGUGUACCUGAAGAAUAAGCAUCGGCUAACUCCGUGCCAGCAGCCGCGGUAAGACGGAGGAUGCAAGUGUUAUCCGGAAUCACUGGGCGUAAAGCGUCUGUAGGUGGUUGAACAAGUCAACUGUUAAAUCUUGAAGCUCAACUUCAAAAUCGCAGUCGAAACUGUUUGACUAGAGUAUAGUAGGGGUAAAGGGAAUUUCCAGUGGAGCGGUGAAAUGCGUAGAUAUUGGAAAGAACACCGAUGGCGA
rnacentral:rRNA from 1 species